GUGGGGAAUAUUGGACAAUGGGCGAAAGCCUGAUCCAGCCAUGCCGCGUGUGUGAAGAAGGUCUUCGGAUUGUAAAGCACUUUAAGUUGGGAGGAAGGGCAGUAAGUUAAUACCUUGCUGUUUUGACGUUACCGAUAGAAUAAGCACCGGCUAACUUCGUUCCAGCAGCAGCGGUAAUACGAAGGGUGCAAGCGUUAAUCGGAAUUACUGGGCGUAAAGCGCGCGUAGGAGGUGUUGUAAGGUAGAGGUGAAAUCCGUAGAUAUAGGAAGAAACGCCAGGGGCGGAGGCGACUACCUGGACUGAUACUGACACUGAGGUGCGAACGCGUGGGGAGCAAACAGGAUUAGAAACCCUGGUAGUCC
rnacentral:rRNA from 1 species